AUAGCGUAUAUUAAAGUUGUUGAGGUUAAAAAGCUCGUAGUUGAACCUUGGCCCUGGCUGGCCGGUCCGCCUCACCGCGAGCACUGGUCCGGCCGGGGCUUUCCCUCUGGGGACCCUCAUGCCCUUCACUGGGUGUGUUGGAGAACCAGGACUUUUACUGUGAACAAAUCAGAUCGUUCAAAGAAGGCUCUCGCUUGAAUGCUUUAGCAUGGAAUAAUAAAAUAGGACGUGCGUUUCUAUUUUGUUGGUUUCUAGAGCCGCCGUAAUGAUUAAUAGGGACAGUCGGGGGCAUCAGUAUUCAAUUGUCAGAGGUGAAAUUCUUGGAUCAAUUGAAGACUAACUACUG
rnacentral:rRNA from 1 species